CAUGGAGUUUGAUCCUGGCUCAGAUUGAACGCUGGCGGCAUGCUUUACACAUGCAAGUCGAACGGUAACAGGCCGCAAGGUGCUGACGAGUGGCGAACGGGUGAGUAAUGUAUCGGAACGUGCCCAGUCGUGGGGAUAACGCAGCGAAAGCUGCGCUAAUACCGCAUACGAUCUAUGGAUGAAAGCGGGGGACCUUGUAGCAAUACGGGGGCCUCGCGCGAUCGGAGCGGCCGAUGUCAGAUUAGGUAGUUGGUGGGGUAAAGGCUCACCAAGCCAACGAUCUGUAGCUGGUCUGAGAGGACGACCAGCCACACUGGAACUGAGACACGGUCCAGACUCCUACGGGAGCAGCAGUGGGGGAAUUUUGGACAAUGGACGCAAGUCUGAUCCAGCCAUU
rnacentral:rRNA from 1 species